ACCACUGGACUGCCAGGGAAGUCCCUGAAGGCUGAUUUUUAAGGCAUUUCACCUGAUGAGAAAACAGUCCACUCAACACAGAGGACUGAGGGACAAGCAUUAAACUUGGGGUUAGAGUACCUGGAGGUUCUUCACCAGCCCUACCACUUUCCAGUUGCAUGAUGUCUGACUAGUCACCUGUCUCCUCUCUGAACUGCAGUCCCCAGCAAGGGUGACUGCUCUCCUGCCCUUAACGAUUUGUUGUGAGGAUCUAGACAAUGAUGUGACAUUCCUUUUCAAGUUAUUCACCCUUAUGUAAACCAGGGAUCAUUCUUAAUAAUAGCAAAAUAAUAAAUUCACUCUUAAUAAAGUCAGAUAUUCAUUUAAGAGGUUA